CUAGCUACUUUCUUUCCGGAGAUAUGUUCGAGGGAACGCUACAAAGGUAUUGCAACGCCCUCUUGAGUAAAUGACGCUCAAACGUCAUGAUAAUUGAAGUUCAAUUAUUGGCUUCCGGGCACUUCCGUAUACUCAUAAAGCUUAGUAAAAGAUGUUCUGGAGAAGACAAGUUAGUUAGAUGAAGGCUAGGCGUUCUAGGACUCUCUAGCUAGCUAGUAUAGAUAUGUAGCUGGAUUACUUGGCACCUAGGAAGGAUCUUCGAAGAAAUAAAGAGACAAAGACUCCCGUCCCUCGAAUGGUAAGCUCUCAUGUCUUGUUAUAAGCUUGUACUUAUUAACUGUGUAAUGUAUCAGUCUUAUAAAAGAUCCCUCACUUGUAUUGAGCCUACAGAAAGUGUCUCUGUCCUUCAUACAGCUUAAAGGAAGCCUAAGUGAUCUAUUAUAGGUAGUCUUUCACUUAGUAUUCGUCCGUAUUGAUCUAAGGCUUGAUCCAACUUAUUAGUAGCUUUAUAAGAAGCUUUCCUCCUUUAAUUUAGUACUGGUAUCACUGCCAUUGUGCUUAGUAGUAACAGGCCUGAUGGGAUGGGUGAUCACAUCAUGGAGGGCCCAGGAAACUGCGUGGAAUUGUCGUAUAACAUUUAUAUUGAUGGUUCCCCCAGGUGGUGGUAAGUGUCGGAGGCCUGAGAAACGCUAGUCUAUUGGCUAGAAUGUUGUUAUGGAGUGUUUAUGAGGACAAGUGGCACGGGAUACGUACAUCUAAAGAAACAAGAGUGGAUCUACGCCAAGCUAGCUAGCUAGAUAGCUGCUCUUUCUAAUCUAUUUCUGUUGCUAAAUUAUGUUUGUUAAGAAGUGGAACUAUAAUAUACCUGGCUCCUCUUGAUGAUUGUAAGUACUGGGCUGAUGAAAUAGUCCUGUACAAGUUGUCAUCUUUAUUUGUUAAAAAUAAUUAACAAUAAUAGGGAAAUUCCCAGGGAAUUUCCCCUCACGUA